CGGGACCGGGGGCAACUCCGGUUCAGUGGCGGACGGGUGUUCACACGUGAGGAACAUGACUUUCGGUGGGGGAUAGCCGGCCCAACGGCCGGGUAAUACCGCGUACGACCUCUCGGGGACAUCCCCGGUUGGUGAAAGCAGCAAUGCGCUGAAAGAGUGCCUCGCGGCCUAUCAGCUAGUUGGUGGGGUAAUGGCCCACCAAGGCGACGACGGGUAGCUGGUCUGAGAGGAUGGCCAGCCACAUUGGGACUGAGACACGGCCCAGACUCCUACGGGAGGCAGCAGUGGG
rnacentral:rRNA from 1 species